CCGCCUGGGGAUUGGACCGCUUUCUAUUAGCUUGUUGGCGGGGUAAUGGCCCACCAAGGCUGAGAUGGAUACCGGGUGUGAGAGCAUGGCCCGGCUCACUGGGACUGAGACACUGCCCAGACACCUACGGGUGGCUGCAGUCGAGAAUCUUCGGCAAUGGACGAAAGUCUGACCGAGCGACGCCGCGUGCGGGAUGAAGGCCUUCGGGUUGUAAACCGCUGUCAGUUGGGAGGAAAUGUAGAGGGGUUAUCCCCUUUUAUUUGACCGAUCUUCAGAGGAAGGACGGGCUAAGUUCGUGCCAGCAGCCGCGGUAAGACGAACCGUCCGAACGUUAUUCGGUAUCACUGGGCUUAAAGCGUUCGUAGGCGGCCUAGUAUGUGAGGUGUGAAAGCCCUCGGCUCAACCGAGGAACAGCGCUUCAAACCACUAGGCUUGAGGACGGCAGGGGUAAUGGGAACUGAUGGUGGAGCGGUGAAAUGCGUUGAUAUCAUCAGGAACACCGGUGGCGAAAGCGCAUUACUGGGCCAUUUCUGACGCUGAGGAACGAAAGCUAGGGUAGCGAACGGGAUUAGAUACCCCGGUAGUCCUAGCCGUAAACGAUGAGCACUGGGUUGAGGGGACUUCCACAUCUUCUCGGCCGUAGCGAAAGCGUUAAGUGCUCCGCCUGGGGAGUAUGGCCGCAAGGCUGAAACUCAAAGGAAUUGACGGGGGCUCACACAAGCGGUGGAGGAUGUGGCUUAAUUCGAGACUACGCGAAGAACCUUAUCCUAGACUUGACAUGCUUAGGAAUCCCCUGGAAACAGGGGAGUGCCCGCAAGGGAGCCUUUGCACAGGUGCUGCAUGGCUGUCGUCAGCUCGUGUCGUGAGAUGUCGGGUUAAGUCCCUUAACGAGCGAAACCCUUAUCUCUAGUUGCCAGCGGGUAAUGCCGGGGACUCUAGAGAGACUGCCGGUGUCAAACCGGAGGAAGGUGGGGAUGACGUCAAGUCCUCAUGGCCUUUAUGUUUAGGGCUGCACACGUCCUACAAUGGCACGUACAAAGGGAAGCAAUACCGCGAGGUGGAGCUAAUCCCACAAAGCGUACCUCAGUUCGGAUUGCAGGCUGCAACUCGCCUGCAUGAAGCUGGAAUCGCUAGUAAUCGUAGGUCAGCAUACUACGGUGAAUGUGUUCCUGAGCCUUGUACACACCGCCCGUCAAGCCACGAAAGUUGGGAGGGCCCGUAGUCACUGAGCUAACCCGCAAG
rnacentral:rRNA from 1 species